GUGAGAACAUAGGUGGGAAGAAGAAACGGGGAGGCAGGGAGGGAGACUGAGGGCAGGGAAUCAGUGCCUGCUCUCCCUCUUCUGAAACACACCAGGGAAAGCCCUUUGGGAAUUUACGACGGCAACAACAGGCUAUUGGAGCCACUAUUAUCAUUAUUUUUACAGAUGCUGUAAAAAACCUCAGCAAGUCUCCUGGGAAAUCUGAGUGUCUGUCUUGUGCCUGGGACUGUCUUAGAAGCUGGAGAUGCUGCCGUGAAUGAGACACACCAUCCCUGCCUUCAUGGACCGACUAGAAGCACCUUCUAGUCUUACUUUCUCAUUGAACAGAGGGGAUCUCAUGCAGAAUACCACAUCACAUUUAGUCAUCAUGUCUCAGACUUCUCUUGGCUGUGACAGUUUCACAGGCUUUGUUUUUGAUGACCUUGACGGUUUGGAGGAACAUUGCUCAGAUAAUUGCAAGGCUGCAUUAAGGGAAGAGAAAGAGGCAUGGAAGAAGAGAAAGCAAAGCAUCACAAUAGGCUUGAAAGCACUUUUUGGGACAAAACUUUGUAUGUGUACUGAAAUGUGGAACUUAGUGGAAGCAAACAGAAAUCUACUACGUUUUUAAGGGAGGUAAAUUGCUAUGAAACCAUGAACCUGGAACCAAAAAGCUUUCGACUAUUGAGUCCUAAAACCAGUUUCACGCCAGCAUACUUGCACCAGCAGAAGGCUGGCUGUUGAAGCUGGGUAACUGCCAAAGGUUGCAUUCUCCCCAAUAUCCACUGUAGAUAUAGCCAUGGUGGAUAAUGGAAAAGGGAGACCCUUCAAUCAAAAGGGAAGAGUCAGGUCACAGAGGACGGUGACAAAGGAGUUCUUCUCAGAAAACAGAAUCAGAGUUGAAUAUAAGAACUUAGUCUGAGGCCUUCAUAAUGCUCUCCAAGCAGGAUUUCAGAAUUGCUAUGAACCAUAAUGGGCGUGUGUGUUUUCCUUCUUUUCAAACAAGGUCUUUAAUUUGCUGUUACUCUGUCCCUGUGCCACCAUUGUAUAUUGGGUGUGUGUAGAGUAGGGGGUGGGUUGGGGGGCAGAUAAUUUUUCUUUUUAGUUCAUAGGUCACUGGACCACCAAGAGACCUGAUGGAGAUACUGGAACAUUGGCGAUCUUGAGCUUUGACCUGGAUGUGCUGACAGGGGAUGUGAAAAGUCAAGGAGAAUGAUGCAAAAAUACUCAUGAACUAUCCGGUGCUGAACAAAUAGAGGGAAGAUAAUGAUGCU
rnacentral:lncRNA from 1 species